rfam:Medicago truncatula strain A17 chromosome 5, whole genome shotgun sequence.
UUUGGUUCGGAUAAUUGUGGUUACUAACGGUUCAGUUCGGUUAGUGAACUGUUAUUAAAAUAAUGGUUCGAUUCAAGA